GACGAACGCUGGCGGCGUGCUUAACACAUGCAAGUCGAACGAUGAACCCAGAGCUUGCCCCGGUGGAUUAGUGGCGAACGGGUGAGUAACACGUGAGUAACCUGCCCUUGACUCUGGGAUAACUGCGGGAAACUGUAGCUAAUACCGGAUACGACCCUCGGCGGCAUCGCCAGGGGGUGGAAAGAAUUUCGGUCAAGGAUGGAAUCGCGGCCUAUCAGCUAGUUGGUGAGGUAACGGCUCACCAAGGCGACGACGGGUAGCCGGCCUGAGAGGGUGACCGGCCACACUGGAACUGAGACACGGCCCAGACUCCUACGGGAGGCAGCAGUGGGGAAUAUUGCACAAUGGGCGCAAGCCUGAUGCAGCAACGCCGCGUGAGGGAUGACGGCCUUCGGGUUGUAAACCUCUUUUAGUAGGGAAGAAGCGAAAGUGACGGUACCUGCAGAAAAAGCACCGGCUAACUACGUGCCAGCAGCCGCCGUAA
rnacentral:rRNA from 1 species